AUUGUAUUACAUACAGAAUAUUUCUCACUGUAUGUGAUCACAAUUAUCAUGAGCAGCUUUGUUGAAAAGAAUCAUGUAAUGUAAUAGACUUUUCGUAUUUCACACAUGUAAAACUGUAGGUAGAUCUGUGUAUAAAAUCGAGGUGUACAACAUCCAUUCUCAAAUCAAUGCUCUUUUUCUGAACUCUAUCUCAAGAAAAUUUAUUCUUUCAUCAAUUUCUGGCCAUUUGGUUUUCUCUUACCCAAGGACAUUGUCUGUCAUUCUAUUCCUGUGGCCUAUUUUUUUUCCCCUGCCAUCUCUGCUUAAAAUUCCAACAGCCACAGGAUACGUUUUCCUUCAGAACUCCCACAAUAAGGGUCGCUUUAAUGCUUAGCAGGUUUUAGCUUACAAACUCAGUGUGUAGGAGCCAGUGCUUCCCUCUAUUUUCUUAAAAAUCAACUCAGUUCUAACACUGAGAUUCUCCUCCUAUAAGACAGUUUGGAAACUUAAUCUGAAUAAUAAGACCCUCCCUAAAAGGGUUAUGACAGUCACUCAUAGAACUGAGAUAUAGGGAAGAGCCAAUCAUUGCCUUGCACUGGUAACUUUAGAGAUUCCCUUUUAAAUAUGCAAGCUCUUCAACUACUUUGCUACUCUUGAGGCACAGGGAUUCUAUGAACCUUGAAACUUCAAUGGCUAGGAACUUAUCUUCAGAUAUGUUUUACACAUAUCUGAAUGAUUACUGUUAUUACAGAAGUUAAAAACACGUCCUCUUACCUGUCUUAGGGAUUCUUCUUGACUUCAGAAGCUUUCUCCCUCUAAGCUCACACUCUUGGACACUUGCCAUUAUCUUUCAUGUCUUUUACUCCAUUACAAAAGUCAAAAUUCCUGAGGCAAGAACACACAAAACUGGUUGCCUAUCAGCAAGGUAAGAAAUAGGAGUCUCUACAAGGAGAAAGAGGUACAUUAACUUUCCCAGAGCCUCACUGCUUUUUGCCCCUUGAGAUUUAACAGAAUUUUGAUCAUAGAGACACAACUGAUAUGCCUCAUAAAGCAAACACCAUUUUCUCUUUUUUUCAGUUUUCUUUUCUUUUUUAUUUUUAACUUUAAGUUCCGGGAUACAUGUGCAGAUUUUAGCAUAAAAACUAUUUUUCCUAAACCAGAUUCUGUUUUUAUUUUUCUGAGGCAGUUUCUGAUAGGUAAGAUAUUUGAAAUUUUCUUUAUAUGCUGAAAGUCACCUCAAAACAAUUUGGUAAGAUAUUUGAUAACUAUUAUUUUUCUUAGGUAUAAGAGCAUAGCAACAUAAAUUAUUUCAUUGUAAGAUG
rnacentral:lncRNA from 10 species